GGUUAAGCGACUAAGCGUACACGGUGGAUGCCCUGGCAGUCAGAGGCGAUGAAGGGCGUGCUAAUCUGCGAUAAGCGCCGGUAAGGUGAUAUGAACCGUUAUAACCGGCGAUACCCGAAUGGGGAAACCCAGUGUGACUCGUCACACUAUCAUUAACUGAAUCCAUAGGUUAAUGAGGCGAACCGGGGGAACUGAAACAUCUAAGUACCCCGAGGAAAAGAAAUCAACCGAGAUUCCCCCAGUAGCGGCGAGCGAACGGGGAGGAGCCCAGAGCCUGAAUCAGCAUGUGUGUUAGUGGAAGCGUCUGGAAAGGCGCGCGAUACAGGGUGACAGCCCCGUACACAAAAGCGCAUGUGCUGUGAGCUCGAUGAGUAGGGCGGGACACGUGGUAUCCUGUCUGAAUAUGGGGAAAUUCAUCCUCCAAGGCUAAAUACUCCUGACUGACCGAUAGUGAACCAGUACCGUGAGGGAAAGGCGAAAAGAACCCCGGCGAGGGGAGUGAAAAAGAACCUGAAACCGUGUACGUACAAGCAGUGGGAGCACAGGUUUACCUGUGUGACUGCGUACCUUUGUAUAAUGGGUCAGCGACUUAUAUUCUGUAGCAAGGUUAACCGAAUAGGGGAGCCGGAGGGAAACCGAGUCUUAACCGGGCGUUAAGUUGCAGGGUAUAGACCCGAAACCCGGUGAUCUAGCCAUGGGCAGGUUGAAGGUUGGGUAACACUAACUGGAGGACCGAACCGACUAAUGUUGAAAAAUUAGCGGAUGACCUGUGGCUGGGGGUGAAAGGCCAAUCAAACCGGGAGAUAGCUGGUUCUCCCCGAAAGCUAUUUAGGUAGCGCCUCGUGAAUUCAUCUCCGGGGGUAGAGCACUGUUUCGGCUAGGGGGCCAUCCCGGCUUACCAACCCGAUGCAAACUGCGAAUACCGGAGAAUGUUAUCACGGGAGACACACGGCGGGUGCUAACGUCCGUCGUGAAGAGGGAAACAACCCAGACCGCCAGCUAAGGUCCCAAAGUCAUGGUUAAGUGGGAAACGAUGUGGGAAGGCCCAGACAGCCAGGAUGUUGGCUUAGAAGCAGCCAUCAUUUAAAGAAAGCGUAAUAGCUCACUGGUCGAGUCGGCCUGCGCGGAAGAUGUAACGGGGCUAAACCAUGCACCGAAGCUGCGGCAGCGAACGUAUCACUUAAAGCGAUUCAGCGGGUUACGAUUGACGGAGCGAAGCGACGUCAAAGCGUAUACAAAGUCGAGUCGGUUUAAGGAUACGUUCGUUGGGUAGGGGAGCGUUCUGUAAGCCUGUGAAGGUGUGUCGUGAGGCAUGCUGGAGGUAUCAGAAGUGCGAAUGCUGACAUAAGUAACGAUAAAGCGGGUGAAAAGCCCGCUCGCCGGAAGACCAAGGGUUCCUGUCCAACGUUAAUCGGGGCAGGGUGAGUCGACCCCUAAGGCGAGGCCGAAAGGCGUAGUCGAUGGGAAACGGGUUAAUAUUCCCGUACUUGGUGUUACUGCGAAGGGGGGACGGAGAAGGCUAUGUUGGCCGGGCGACGGUUGUCCCGGUUUAAGCGUGUAGGCUGGUUUUCCAGGCAAAUCCGGAAAAUCAAGGCUGAGGCGUGAUGACGAGGCACUACGGUGCUGAAGCAACAAAUGCCCUGCUUCCAGGAAAAGCCUCUAAGCAUCAGGUAACAUCAAAUCGUACCCCAAACCGACACAGGUGGUCAGGUAGAGAAUACCAAGGCGCUUGAGAGAACUCGGGUGAAGGAACUAGGCAAAAUGGUGCCGUAACUUCGGGAGAAGGCACGCUGACACGUAGGUGAAGUGAUUUACUCAUGGAGCUGAAGUCAGUCGAAGAUACCAGCUGGCUGCAACUGUUUAUUAAAAACACAGCACUGUGCAAACACGAAAGUGGACGUAUACGGUGUGACGCCUGCCCGGUGCCGGAAGGUUAAUUGAUGGGGUCAGCGCAAGCGAAGCUCCUGAUCGAAGCCCCGGUAAACGGCGGCCGUAACUAUAACGGUCCUAAGGUAGCGAAAUUCCUUGUCGGGUAAGUUCCGACCUGCACGAAUGGCGUAAUGAUGGCCAGGCUGUCUCCACCCGAGACUCAGUGAAAUUGAACUCGCUGUGAAGAUGCAGUGUACCCGCGGCAAGACGGAAAGACCCCGUGAACCUUUACUAUAGCUUGACACUGAACAUUGAGCCUUGAUGUGUAGGAUAGGUGGGAGGCUUUGAAGCGUGGACGCCAGUCUGCGUGGAGCCGACCUUGAAAUACCACCCUUUAAUGUUUGAUGUUCUAACGUGGACCCGUGAUCCGGGUUGCGGACAGUGUCUGGUGGGUAGUUUGACUGGGGCGGUCUCCUCCUAAAGAGUAACGGAGGAGCACGAAGGUUGGCUAAUCCUGGUCGGACAUCAGGAGGUUAGUGCAAUGGCAUAAGCCAGCUUGACUGCGAGCGUGACGGCGCGAGCAGGUGCGAAAGCAGGUCAUAGUGAUCCGGUGGUUCUGAAUGGAAGGGCCAUCGCUCAACGGAUAAAAGGUACUCCGGGGAUAACAGGCUGAUACCGCCCAAGAGUUCAUAUCGACGGCGGUGUUUGGCACCUCGAUGUCGGCUCAUCACAUCCUGGGGCUGAAGUAGGUCCCAAGGGUAUGGCUGUUCGCCAUUUAAAGUGGUACGCGAGCUGGGUUUAGAACGUCGUGAGACAGUUCGAUUCCUAUCUGCCGUGGGCGCUGGAGAACUGAGGGGGCUGCUCCUAGUACGAGAGGACCGGAGUGGACGCAUCACUGGUGUUCGGGUUGUCAUGCCAAUGGCACUGCCCGGUAGCUAAAUGCGGAAGAGAUAAGUGCUGAAAGCAUCUAAGCACGAAACUUGCCCCGAGAUGAGUUCUCCCUGAGACUUAAAGUCUCCUGAAGGAACGUUGAAGACGACGACGUUGAUAGGCCGGGUGUGUAAGCGCAGCGAUGCGUUGAGCUAACCGGUACUAAUGAACCGUGAGGCUUAACCUU
rnacentral:rRNA from 1 species